rnacentral:rRNA from 1 species
UACGUAGGGCGCAAGCGUUUAUCCGGAAUUAUUGGGCGUAAAGAGCUCGUAGGCGGCUGUCGCGUCGACUGUGAAAAUCCCGCGGCUCAACUGCGGGUCUGCAGUCGAUACGGGCAGGCUAGAGUUCGGUAGGGGAGACUGGAAUUCCCGGUGUAGCAGUGAAAUGCGCAGAUAUCAGGAGGAACACCGGUGGCGAAGGCGGGUCUCUGGGCCGAUACUGACGCUGAGGAGCGAAAGCGUGGGGAGCGAACAG